UACACGCUGUGACUAGCAUAUCAAUAAGCGGAGGAAAAGAAACUAACAAGGAUUCCCUAGUAACGGCGAGUGAAGCGGGAAGAGCUCAAAUUUGAAAUCUUAAAGGUUUUCCCUUGACGAAUUGUAGUUUAAAGAAGUGUUUUCUGUUAGAAGUUUUCGGUAAAAGUUCUUUGGAAUAGGACAUCAUAGAGGGUGAUGAAUCCCGUAUUUGACCAUUUACUUUUCAGCUUUGUGAUACACUUUCAAAGAGUCGGAUUGUUUGGGAAUGCAGUCCAAAAUGGGUGGUAAAUUUCAUCUAAAGCUAAAUAUUGGCGAGAGACCGAUAGCGAACAAGUACCGUGAGGGAAAGAUGAAAAGAACUUUGAAAAGAGAGUUAAACAGUACGUGAAAUUGUCAAAAGGGAAGCGUUUGACACCAGUGUUGUUUUUCUGAAAAUCAAUUAAAGAACUGUUUAUGCUAAGCUGUUUAGACUUUAUCAGCUAAUCCGUUUAGUUUUGAGCUUUUCUUUAAUGCACUUUUCAGUUAACAAGUCAACAUCAAUUUCUUUUGCUGUAAAAAAGCUUGAGGAAGGUGGCUUGAGAUUCGUCUUAAGUGUUUAUAGCCUCUUGCCUAUGCAGUCGGAGAGAUUGAGGUCUGCAGCGUAGAUCCUUCGGGGCUAAAUGCAUUUGUGCUAAGUUAUAGCAUUUUAUAGACAACUUGUUGACUAUGAUUUGUCUUGUAGCUUACUCGCUUAUGUUAUUUUACCUACGCUUAGGAUGUUGAGCGCAUGUCUCUCUCU
rnacentral:rRNA from 1 species